GACGAACCGUGCGAACGUUGUUCGGCAUCACUGGGCGUAACGCGCACGUAGGCGGCUGUGUCAGUCAGGGGUGAAAUCCCGGAGCUCAACUUCGGAACUGCCCUUGAUACAGCACGUCUUGAGUCCGGAAGAGGUGGGUGGAAUUCCUAGUGUAGAGGUGAAAUUCGUAGAUAUUAGGAAGAACACCGGUGGCGAAGGCGGCCCACUGGUCCGGUACUGACGCUGAGGUGCGAAAGCGUGGGGAGCAAACAGG
rnacentral:rRNA from 1 species